rnacentral:rRNA from 1 species
AGCAGCCGCGGUAAUUCCAGCUCCAAUAGCGUAUAUUAGUGUUGUUGCGGUUAAAAAGCUCGUAGUUGAAUUUCGGGAUUGGGAUAUAUCGGUCGUGCCUUUAGGGACAUGAAACGGUGUGUAGCCAAUUUCUCACCUUCUGGUGAGUCGGGAUGCUCUUGGGUGUUUCGAUGAACUAGGACUUUUACUUUGAAAAAAUUAGAGUGUUUAAAGCGGGCAUUUUUGCUUGAAUACAUUAGCAUGGAAUAAUAAAAUAGAACGAUGGUUCUAUUUUGUUGGUUUUAGGAUCACGUAAUGAUUAAUAGGGAUAGUUGGG